UUCAAACCCCUUAUCAUUUGCCUUCAACAUCGUGUCUAAACCAAUGAGUUGCUUAUAAAUAAAAUCACCCUGAGAAAUAAUGAAUUCCAAACAUGUCCCAUGACUCAAUUCGCCCAAAACCACGACAUUUAACACCUUACUCUUUUUCUUGUCAGCAUUUCCUUCUAGUGGCAAUAUAAGUUCAGUGAUGAAUAAAUCCUUGAUUUCAAGCAUCUCAAGUGCCUGUGCUGCACCAUUUUCAUCAUGAAGGAUAAAGUCUGUAAGUCUUCUAUUUGGGCGAUCAUUCUCUUGUCCAGCAGUCAUACGGACCGCUAGCAGUUCUCCUUCUGCAAACUGAUCCUUCUUUGUUUCACCAAGACAAGACUUAUCAGUUUCAGGCACAUUCCAUGACAGGAUCAUAGCUACUGCAGGAUCAAGAUGCACGACUUAUCGAAGCAACCAAACCUUCCUGUAAUGGAUGACGGUAACUCACUGCGGCUUAUACGCAUGUUGCAUAAGGUGUUGCAAUAUUUUGCAACAUUUCAUGACAGGAUGAAAGUGACUCCGCAGGUGAGAUUCAACCGUUGAUUAGUAUCAAAUGCAGGAAUGUUUCUUGCAGCAUGGCAUUAAUGUGGACUUGUGCAACCAGUGUUCUGGAUUUGAGCUUCAUGUAGCAUGGCCAUGGCUCGCCUAAUGGUGUUGCAGCAUUUAUGUGCAACCAGUGCUGAAGCGCUUCGUCAUUGGAACAAAGGGCUUGCAACAUGACAUUGAAAUUGGAAGCAACUUGCCUUAUGGA